rnacentral:rRNA from 1 species
UACGUAGGGUGCGAGCGUUAAUCGGAAUUACUGGGCGUAAAGCGUGCGCAGGCGGUUUUGUAAGACAGGCGUGAAAUCCCCGGGCUCACCUGGAACGUGCGUUUGUGACUGCAAGGCUAGAGUAUGGCAGAGGGGGGUGGGAAUUCCGCGUGUAGCAGUGAAAUGCGUAGAGAUGUGGAGGAACACCGAUGGCGAAGGCAGCCCCCUCGGG